CAAUUUGGUUUAAUUGCUAUUUAUAGAACACUACAUAUGACAACUGUAGAAUGCAUUCAUUCAAAGUACACACGAGAAGCUCAUCAAGAUAACCUGUAUGUUGGAUAACAACAAAACAACAAAAUUCAAUGAAUUUCAAAGGACUGAAGUUGUAUAGAGUACAUUCUCAGACCAAAACAGAAUUAUUUUGGAUAUCAAAAAUGAUAUCCCUGGAUAUUUGGAAAUUAAGUAAUACUUCCAGUUAAGGAAUGGAUCAAAGAAGAAAUCAACAGGGACGGUAUAAAUAAAUUCAAACUUAAUGGUAAUGAAAUCACAAUGUACAAAAAUGAAGUGCAGCUUAAGUAAUAUUUAGAAAGAAAUUUAUAGCUUUAACUUAUACUUUAUAUAUUUAAUUUGUAUUAGAAAAGAAAGGAUAGGAAAUCAAUGACUUAACUUGAGAAAAACAAGAAGAAUAGAAAACUAAACCCAAAGUAGGUAUUUAAAAAAAGAAAUAAAAACAUAUGAAUGGAAAUCAAUGAAAUAGAAAAGAGAAAUAGGAAAAAAAGACAAGGGUUGUUUAAAAAUUUAAUAAAAUUGAUAUAGUGAUACUGAUAAAGACAAAAGGAGAGUAAACAUAUUCGCAAAUAUCUAGAAGGAAAGAGGGGCACCACGACAGAUCCUAGAUAUAUUGAAAAUAUAAUAAAGGGAUAGCAGUAACUUCAUGUCAGUGUACUAACAUCUUAGAUUAAAUGGACAAAUUGUUUAAAAAACACAAGUUAUCAACUGACACACAAGAAAAAAGAAAACUGGAAUUACAGCAUAUCCACUUGAGAAAUUUAAUUUGCAAUUCAAAAUUUCUCCCCAAAGAAAAUGUUAGUCACCAGUGGCUUCUGUGGUAAAUUCUAUCAAAUACAUAAAGAAGAAAUAAUAAAUAUCUUACACAACCACUUGCAUAAAAGAGAGGUGGACUAAAUAAUUGUGUCAGUCAUUUUAUGAGACUAGUAUAACCCUGAAACCAAACUUGACAAGGACAUACUGUGUAAAAAUACAGAGACCAAUAUCCCUCAUGCAUAUAGAUGUAAAAAUUCUCAACAAUGUACUAACAUAUUGACUCUCCAUGACAGAGGACUUUUUUUGUCACACUGCUGCCUGCCACAAGGAAUAAAAACAUGUACAGUUUGCCUGAUGAACCACAGCUUAUAGGUGCCCUUCCAUUCCCAGUUUGCAGGACUUCAGUUUGUUGGAGCUGCUUGGAUCUUUGUAUUCUUCGGUCGCUGUCACUACCUCAUGUUCAGAAUGGAGAGGGACUUGAUUCCGAUCGCAACACUCAAUAUCUCAGCGGUGCCCACCCUCCCCACCGCUGUCAUGUCCACUUGGACACCAAUAGGACCAGGACUCGGGUAAGUCAAGUGUCUUAGAGGCAAAAUUGAUGGGUUACCCAAAAACUUAGUAGUCAAGACCGAUACUAUUUUAUGCACUAUUCUAAAAAGUCAAACAAUGAUAUGAUCUAUGAUGAACAAAAUAUCAACAUUUUAGAUGAAGACAGGAUCCAACUCUACGCGUGUACAACGUGGUCUCACCCUAUUCCAGCCCUGCCACAUCCUAACUGUUGUUUCCUGGGUUCACUAGGGAAAAAAAAUGAUGGUAUCUGCUUUACUGUUUCUUCUCCUGGGCUUUUCCUUCAAGGCCAAGAGGGCUACCAAACUUCUAGAUUCAAUAAUGCUAGUAUUAAAUUUACAGAGAGGAAUGUCUUUUAUUUUGCAGAUGUCAUCUAUUUUAGAAUAUGUUCCUACUGGCAAUUUUAUUACCUAUAUUUAUGCAGUAAGGGAGCAGUAUCUUUACAGUGUGGAAAAGAUACCUUCUGCGAGGUAUCUGCACGUGUGCUUCUCCACCACCCACUAAAGCUAUUCCGCCUGCCCUCCCGCCCCCCACGCCCAAAUGCACACACACAUAAACAUACGCAAACACACAACCACUCUGAGUACAGCUGAGAAGUUCUAAACUUUCUUUAGACAUUACCAUUCAUAUAUCAUGUGACUUUUACUGCGUUUUUGUGGCUGUGCUACUAAACCGGAAGUAAUGCUCUUUUCAAGGUAUUCCAGAUGAAUCUAAGAAAAGAUAGAAACAAAAAGCCUUUGGAGAUACCUUUCAGUUCUACACUUGACCUAUUUGUAAAGUAAGAUUGGAAAGAAGUAAUAGUUCCUGACACAGUGAGGUCUCAAAACACACAUCUCUAUACGCUGAAAAGAUCUGCUUUCAAAGAUUUUUAGGACUCAUAUGUAGUCAAUUAAUUUUACUAAGUAAACUUGUUGGACCUGCUACUUCCGUGCUCGAGAGGGAAACCAGCCCUGUGUUCUGGAUUGCUACAUAAACCUUCUAGUCGUCUUGUCAGGACACUGCUAAAGCAGGUAUAAAAGUAUAGCUGGCAUUUAUCAGCUCACUGUCUCAUUCUUUUCUCCCUAACUCAACUUUUUGGGUUGCUAUUGGCCAGUAAGUUUCCUUAGAAAGUUCAACUGUGUAUGUUUGUAUCAGUCAAAUUGAGAGAGAACCGAACGAAGACAGGAAGUCAGCUUCAGUAACUCUGAAUACUGUCCCUUGAUUUUCUAUCAAGCGGGUUGUGCACCUUAAAUAGACAGUCUAGGACCUCAUCAGAUAGUUGUGUACAUCAGCCUUACUCAUGAGGAGGAGAUGUGUCAGUUUGGAAUGCACUUGUCUCUAGUCAACAGAAAACCUGACUUCAGUUGUUUUAUCACAUAGGGGUUUAUUUAUAAAGUGCAACGCAAAGCCUGGGAGAAGGGAGCGUAGAGGGUUGCGGCAGCUUAACAAUGCUAUAAGAAAUUCUUUCCACAUUUUCAUACUUAGCAUACAGACCUUUGUUUUAUGGUAUGCAUCUUGUGGUUGCCAGUUGGCUGCUUCCACUCAAGGCUUACUCCCCAGGACCCAUGCCAGUUAAGAAAAAGGAAAAUGGGCAAAAGUCCUAAAGGGGAACAUGCCAUCUCAGAUUAGCCCUUUCAAAAAUAUUUCCUUUAAGCCCAAUUCCCAAGUGCACUUCUACAUCAUUAGCCAUAAUGGAUUCAUAUGCCACUCCUCCCUGCAAGAGAUGAAGGGAAAAUGAAUAUGUGGCCCAGAGUAGGGAAGGCAAGGAAAAAUGGGCUGGGACAUGGCUGUGUUGAUAGCCAUUUGUAUUUACGUCCUGUUGCUGCUGUAACAAAUUACCACAAACUCAGUGGCUUAAAAACACAAACGCAAAUUUAUUGUCUUACUGUUCAGGAGUUCAAAAGUUAAAUUGGGCUAAAGUUAAGGUAGAACUACACUCCUUUCCCGGGGGCUUUAAGGGAAAAUACAUUUUAGCUUCUCUAGCUUCUAUGGGCUGUGCAUUCCCUCACUUGUGGCUCCCCUUCAUCUUCAAACAGUGCUGCCUGGUUCAGUCUCCCACAUAACAUCACUCUGGCCCUGACUCUUCUGCUUCCUACUUCCACUUGUUAUUAAAGACUCUUGGAUAACACUGGACCCACCUGGAUAAUCUAGAGUAAUCUCUUUAUUUUAAGGUCAACUGAUUAUCAACCUUAAUUCCAUCUGCAACUUUAAUUCCCCUUUGCCACACAACAUAAAAUACUCACAGGUUCUAGGGAUCAGGAGAUAGAUACUUUGCGGGGCUGUUAUCCUCUCUACCAGAGUCUACCCUCUGGUCCCCCAAGAUACACACCUAUGCCACAUAAGAAAUAUAUUCCAGGUCCUCCCAGAUCUCAUCUCAUUAUAAUAUCAUCUCAGUGUGUUCACAUAAUACAAAUAGUGUACACCUGUGACACACUUGGCUUUCUCUCCAGAGCAUCCUUUCCUAAUAGGGAACCUCCUAAUCUGAGCGUCUUUUACAAUCUGAAUGGGCUGAGAAUUUCUCCAAUCAUCAAACUCUGGUUCCUUUUUGUUUAACAGUCCCUCCCUCUAUUUCAUUCUUCUCAACAUUUUACUAUACGUAGCAAGAAGAAAUGAGGCUAUGCUUUCAACCCGUGCCUGGAAAUCUUCUCAGCUAAAUAUCCAAGUUCAUUGCUUACAACCCCCCCCCCCCCAUUUCUACUGCAGGACACAAUUCAGCUCUGUUUUCUGU
rnacentral:lncRNA from 1 species